rnacentral:rRNA from 1 species
CGCGUAGGCGGCCACGCGUGUCUUUCGUGAAAUCCCUCGGCUUAACUGAGGACGUGCGGAAGAAACUGCGAGGCUUGAGUCCGGGAGAGGGGGGUGGGAAUUCCCAGUGUAGCGGUGAAAUGCGUAGAUAUUGGGAGGAACACCGGUGGCGAAGGCGGCCCCCCUGGACCGGUACUGACGCUAAAGCGCGAAAGCGUGGGUAGCAAACG